CAUAGGUUAAUGAGGCGAACCGGGGGAACUGAAACAUCUAAGUACCCCGAGGAAAAGAAAUCAACCGAGAUUCCCCCAGUAGCGGCGAGCGAACGGGGAGGAGCCCAGAGCCUGAAUCAGUGUGUGUGUUAGUGGAAGCGUCUGGAAAGGCGCGCGAUACAGGGUGACAGCCCCGUACACAAAAAUGCACAUGCUGUGAGCUCGAUGAGUAGGGCGGGACACGUGGU
rnacentral:rRNA from 1 species